AUACGGCUGACGAGUCCCAAAUAGGACGAAAUGCGCAUCCUGGAU
rnacentral:hammerhead_ribozyme from 1 species